ACUCGUCCUGAUAUCUCCUAUGCGGUCAACCGGGUCUGCCAGUUUCUUCAUGCUCCUCGAGACUCUCACUGGGCUGCAGUUAAGCGCAUCUUGCGUUACAUCCGGUCCACUUCUUCUUAUGGCUUGCAUCUGCAACCGGCCCCCUCUGGUGUUCUCUCUGCGUUCUCUGAUGCAGACUGGGCUGGGAGUCCGGACGACAGACGAUCAACGGGGGGAUAUGCAGUGUUCCUUGGUUCAAACUUGAUCGCCUGGAGUGCUCGUAAACAGGCAACGGUGUCCCGCAGCAGCACUGAAGCUGAGUACAAAGCAGUUGCAAAUGCCACAGCAGAGCUUAUUUGGAUACAGUUCUUGCUCAGAGAGUUGAAGAUUCCUCAGAAGCAGCCGCCGGUGCUUUGGUGUGAUAACAUU
rnacentral:rRNA from 1 species